UGCAAGUCGAGCGGAAGGCCUUCGGGGUACUCGAGCGGCGAACGGGUGAGUAACACGUGAGCAACCUGCCCUAGGCUUUGGGAUAACCCCGGGAAACCGGGGCUAAUACCGAAUAUGACUUCUGGUCGCAUGACCGGUGGUGGAAAGUUUUUCGGCCUGGGAUGGGCUCGCGGCCUAUCAGCUUGUUGGUGGGGUGAUGGCCUACCAAGGCGACGACGGGUAGCCGGCCUGAGAGGGCGACCGGCCACACUGGGACUGAGACACGGCCCAGACUCCUACGGGAGGCAGCAGUGGGGGAAUAUUGCACAAUGGGCGGAAGCCUGAUGCAGCGACGCCGCGUGAGGGAUGACGGCCUUCGGGUUGUAAACCUCUUUCAGCAGGGACGAAGCGUAAGUGACGGUACCUGCAGAAGAAGCACCGGCCGACUACAUGCCAGCAGCCGCGGUCAGACAUAAGGCGCGAGCGUUGUCCGGAUUUA
rnacentral:rRNA from 1 species